rnacentral:rRNA from 1 species
AUUGAACGCUAGCGGCAUGCUUUACACAUGCAAGUCGAACGGCAGCGCGGGCUUCGGCCUGGCGGCGAGUGGCGAACGGGUGAGUAAUGCAUCGGAACGUGCCCAGUAGUGGGGGAUAGCCCGGCGAAAGCCGGAUUAAUACCGCAUACGACCUGAGGGUGAAAGCGGGGGACCGAAAGGCCUCGCGCUAUUGGAGCGGCCGAUGUCGGAUUAGCUAGUUGGUGGGGUAAAGGCCUACCAAGGCGACGAUCCGUAGCUGGUCUGAGAGGACGACCAGCCACACUGGGACUGAGACACGGCCCAGACUCCUACGGGAGGCAGCAGUGGGGAAUUUUGGACAAUGGGGGCAACCCUGAUCCAGCCAUGCCGCGUGCGGGAAGAAGGCCUUCGGGUUGUAAACCGCUUUUGUUCGGGAAGAAAUCCUCUGGGCUAAUACCCCGGGGGGAUGACGGUACCGGAAGAAUAAGCACCGGCUAACUACGUG